rnacentral:rRNA from 1 species
CCUACGGGAGGCAGCAGUGGGGAAUAUUGCACAAUGGGCGAAACCCUGAUGCAGCGACGCCGCGUGAGUGAAGAAGUAUUUCGGUAUGUUAAGCUCUAUCAGCAGGGAAGAAAAUGACGGUACCUGUCUAAGAAGCCCCGGCUAACUACGUGCCAGCAGCCGCGGUAAUACGUAGGGGGCAAGCGUUAUCCGGAUUUACUGGGUGUAAAGGGAGCGUAGGCGGCAGAGCAAGUCUGAAGUGGAAGCCCGCGGCGCAACUGCGGGACUGCUUUGGAAACUGCCCGGCUAGAGUGCUGGAGAGGUAUGCGGAAUGCGUGGUGUAGCGGUGAAAUGCGUAGAUAUUAGGAGGAACACCAGUGGCGAAGGCAGCUUGCUGGACAGUAACUGACGUUGAGGCACGAAAGCGUGGGGAGCGAACAGGAUUAGAUACCCCUGUAGUC